UGUGGUCAGGUGUAUGGAGAAGAUGUGUGGAUGGACAGGGGUGUAUGUUGAGGUUGGGUGUAUGUGGUCAGGUGUAUGGAGAGGAUGUGUGGAUGGACAGGGGUGUAUGUUGAGGUUGGGUGUAUGUGGUCAGGUGUAUGGAGAGGAUGUGUGGAUGGACAGGUUGGGUGUAAGUGGUCAGGUGUAUGGAGAGGAUGUGUGGAUGGACAGGGGUGUAUGUGGUCAGGUGUAUGGAGAGGAUGUGUGGAUGGACAGGGGUGUAUGUUGAGGUUGGGUGUAUGUGGUCAGGUGUAUGGAGAGGAUGUGUGGAUGGACAGGGGUGUAUGUUGAGGUUGGGUGGCCUUUUGAAGUGUCGUCACGUUGAUGGUGCCACACCUCUGCUGCUCACCAAAUUAACUAAAUCACUCUGCUACCCAAGGCAGGAAAAGUAACACAUAUUAUAAUUGUGUGACAUUUUGGUAAUGACCACACUGACAUUUCAGACUGACACCUUUUUCCCUCUCUUUCUUUGGGUACCUUUUUUUUUUUUGGUCCCUUACAUUUUAAAGGGUAAUGAUACAGAAUGACGGUUUUUACGCUUUGAAAACCAGGAGCCUUCUCGCAGCUCCAAAUCAUCCUCUCUCGUUUUUGUUUGACCGCUUCAAGUCUCACUCACGGACCGAUCAAAGAGUGUCAAGAAACACUUUCCCAUGUGCCUUGUCGGCAAACCAAAUGUCACCCCAUUAACAGGAAUCAUGCUUCCCCACAGAUAAGCUGUGUUGAAAGGAGCCUGUUAAGUUCCCGUCUCUUCUCAAACACCGACGGAAAUAUUCCUACACGACUAAAUUGGCACCAUUAUGGCUGAGCAUUUCUACCCGGAAAUAUGAAUUGAGUUAAUGAUUCAAUUGUUUGGUGACUUACUGUUACUAAUACCCUGUUCUCUAGGGAAUUUGUUUCACCGGCAGACAUGAGCUGCAUCCGUAUAGCGGUAACAUACAUUAUAUGUUCCCGAAACACUUCAACUAAUGUCAGAUGAUUCCUCUUCAGUGCGGCUUCUGUCCGUGCACGGCUCUCCGUAGAAAUCUGAACACUACAUUACAUUCAUGACGCCGGUCCUUCCCC